AACAGCUCCAGCACUCCCAGGAACAAGCUAUUUUUUGAAAGCCACCCUAGACCUGCAAUGGGAACUACAAAGGCAAGAAGCUCUCUGGCUUUUAGUUCAAGUUGUUUCAGAGGCUUCCUGUAUCCCUUCUCAACAGCUUUGGUGCAGCACUGUCGGCCUAUGGACCUUGGGAGUGAAGAACAACUGGAAUGAUGCUUCCCCGCCCCAAGCAGGCUCUACAGAGGGAUGAGGAAGGACCAAGCCAGCCCCAUCUGGGGCUAAGAGCACUGGGGAAUGACCUCCUCCAUGAACAAAGCACCCCACAGUCUCUGGAUUACACUUCUGAUUUGAUUUUUUCUCUUACCUUUUGGUUUCUAACUCAAAUAUGUGGAUGUUGUGAAUGCCCCCUCUCUGGAGGCAUUCAA
ensembl:lncRNA